CGCGGCCUAUCAGCUUGUUGGUGAGGUAAUGGCUCACCAAGGCAUCGACGGGUAGCUAGUCUGAGAGGACGAAUAGCCACACUGGGACUGAGACACGGCCCAGACUCCUACGGGAGGCAGCAGUGGGGAAUCUUGCACAACGGGCGAAAGCCUGAUGCAGCGACGCCGCGUGAGGGAUGAAGGCCCUAGGGUCGUAAACCUCUUUCAGUAGGGACGAAAUAGACGGUACCUGCAGAAGAAGCUCCGGCCAACUACGUGCCAGCAGCCGCGGUAAGACGUAGGGGGCGAGCGUUGUCCGGAUUUAUUGGGCGUAAAGGGCUCGUAGGUGGUUGCGUAAGUCGGAUGUGAAAACUCAGGGCUUAACCCUGAGACGCCAUCCGAUACUGCGCUGACUUGAGUCCGGUAGAGGAGUGUGGAAUUCCUAGUGUAGCGGUGAAAUGCGCAGAUAUUAGGAGGAACACCAAUUGCGAAGGCAGCACUCUGGGCCGGUACUGACACUGAGGAGCGAAAGCGUGGGUAGCAAACAGGAUUAGAUACCCUGGUAGUCCACGCCGUAAACGGUGGGCACUAGGUAUGGGGUCUUUCAACGGAUUCCGUACCGUAGCUAACGCAUUAAGUGCCCCGCCUGGGGAGUACGG
rnacentral:rRNA from 1 species